CCAUUUUUCAAUCACUACCAAACCCCAAACCAAUCUGCUUCGAUGCCGAUCUCAUGUUUAUUAAUUUGGUAGUUUUUUCUUCGGUAUUUUGCUACUGUAAGAUUCGUCUCUUCCGAAAAUCAAAAGUUGUGGUUUUGUUUUAUUUAAGGAGAAGGGAAUCGGGAAUCAUCAAGACACCAGAUUCGAUUGUUUUUUGUUAGCGUUCGUGCGCCACAAAGAAGAUUGAGAAGACGUUAGAUAUUUGAGGGUUUUUUUUAUAAUCCCGGAAUGAUUUUUUGUAUGGACUUUAGCAAGUAAUCUACUCAGUCAAGGUGGAGGGUUUCACCAAGGAGUACUAAUUUCUCUAUACUUAUGGAGAGGGUUUAUGGAUCCUCAAACGGAAAUGGACCGACUAGUAAUGGCCACAUGGUUACAAGGCACUCUCCUUACAAGUCAUUCUCUAAGGGAUUGUUACGAUGGUCGAUGUAAGAGUUUUCUAUGUCAGAGUAACAUCCAUUUUACAUUGUAAUUAGCCUUAUAUACAUCCAUGGAUAAAUACCUUCAUGGUUUGUGAGCCCUUGCUAAUGACCCUGCAGCAGAAGUGCGGAAAUUGGUGAAUAGUUUCUGCUUUUCUCUUUUAUUCUUAUUGUAUUGAUAAUAUAUA